GAUAUUCGUCGUCAUAAACUCGAUCAACUUUGGUGUUUAUGACGUCGAUAUUCGACGUCAUAAACACAAUCAACUUAGGUGUUUAUGACGUCGAUAUUCGACGACAUAAACACCAUCAACUUUCGUGUUUAUAACGUCGAUAUUC